rnacentral:rRNA from 1 species
AUGCAAAAGCACCAAGCCCUGCUACUGGCGAUGACGUUCACCGACGAGUACAAGGGCGAAAACACCGUGGAGGCGCACGGCAACACCAAGUUGCACGUCAUCCACACCAACGACAAGAAGCAGAUGGCGAUCACCCUCGCGCAGUACGAGCGCCACCUCAGCCUCCAGUGCCACAAGAUCGUUGGCAUUGAUCUUGAGUACGACAACGACCCGGAAGUGACGCAGAAAGCCGCCCUCUGCCAGCUCUCCAUCGGCAAGAAUCACCCGAUGCUGCUCUUCCAAAUGAGUGCCUCUGAAAGGUGCACCGUCUUCAACAACUUCCUCGCUGAUCCCAGGUACACCUUUGCAGGCUUCUCCAUCGACGGCGACAAAACCAGGCUGGAGUGCGUCAAACUGGAGGUCGCCAACUUCGUCAACAUCCAGAAGAAGUGGAGGGUGCCCGAGGCAACCAAGCCGUUGGACUCCCUCGGAGACGUCUCCGGCAUGCUCAUCGACGACUACAACAACAACAUGAAGAAGAGGAUCACCGACGACGAGCACCAAUGCUGGGCCACCCUGCCUCUGUCCAGGAGGCACAUCGAGUACGCGGCAAAGGACGCCUACGCAGCGUACGAGAUAUGGAACCGCAUCACCCUCACCCAGGACGGCCUUUGCCGUGCAAAGUUGGAGAAGGAGGAGCCCCCCAAGAAGCGCGCCAGGAGCAGCUGGGGAUGGGAAGAGCCUAACUGA